rnacentral:rRNA from 1 species
UACGAGGGGUGCAAGCGUUGUUCGGAUUCACUGGGCUUAAAGGGCGCGUAGGCGGGCGGUCAAGUCAGGGGUGAAAUCUUUCGGCUCAACCGGAAAAGUGCCUUUGAUACUGGCCGUCUCGAGGGAGGUAGGGGCAUGCGGAACUUCCGGUGGAGCGGUGAAAUGCGUAGAUAUCGGAAGGAACGCCGGUGGCGAAAGCGGCGUGCUGGACCUCUUCUGACGCUGAGGCGCGAAAGCCAGGGGAGCAAAGCGGG